GGCUCAUAUUGAACGCUGGCGGCCUGCCUUACACAUGCAAGUCCAACGGCAGCACGGAGCUUGCUCUGGUGGCGAGUGGCGAACGGGUGAGUAAUAUAUCGGAACGUACCCUAGAGUGGGGGAUAACGUAGCGAAAGUUACUCUAAUACCGCAUACGAUCUAAAGAUGAAGGUGGGGGAUCGCAAAACCUCAUGCUCAUGGAGCGGCCGAUAUCUGAUUAGCUAGUUGGUAGGGUAAAAGCCUACCUAGGCAUCGAUCAUUAGCUGGUCUGAGAGGACCACCAGCCACACUGGAACUGAAACACGGUCCAGACUCCUACGGGAGGCAGCAGUGGGGAAUUUUGGACUAUGGGCGAAAGCCUGAUCCGCCAAUGCCGCGUGAGUGAAGAAGGCCUUCGGGUUGUAAAGCUCUUUUGUCAGGGAAGAAACGGUGAAAGCUAAUAUCUUUUGCUAAUGACGGUACCUGAAGAAUAAGCACCGGCUAACUACGUGCCAUCAGCCGCGGUAAUACGUAGGGUGCAAGCGUUAAUCGGAAUUACUGGGCGUAAAGCGUGCGCACGCGGGUUUGUAACUCUGAUGUGACAUCCCCGGGCUCAACCUGCGAAUUGCAUUGCAGACUGCACGGCUAGAAUCUGGCACAGGGGGGUAGAAUUCCCGUGUACCAGUGAAUGCUUAGAUAUGUGGAGGAACANCGANGNNNAGGCAGCCNCCUGGNNNNANAUNACGCUCAUGCNCGAAAGCGUGGGGAGCAAACGGGAUUAGAUACAUUGGUAGUCCACGCCAUAAAACGAUGUCUACUAGUUGUCGGGUCUUAAUUUACUAUGGUAACGCAGCUAACGCGUGAAGUAGUAUGCCAGGGGAGUACGGUGUCAAGAUUAAAGAUCAAAGGAAUUGACGGGGACCCGCACAAGCGGUGGAUGAUGUGGAUUAAUUCGAUGCAACGCGAAAAACCUUACUUACCCUUGACAUGGCUGGAAUCCUUGAGAGAUCAGGGAGUGCUCGAAAGAGAUCCAGUACACAGGUGUUGCAUGGCUGUUGUCAUCUUGUGUCGUGAGAUGUUGGGUUAAGUCUCGCAACGAGCGCAACCCUUGUCAUUAGUUGCUACGAAAGGGCACUCUAAUGAGACUGCCGGUGACAAACCGGAGGAAGGUGGGGAUGACGUCAAGUCCUCAUGGCCCUUAUGGGUAGGGCUUCUCACGUCAUACAAUGGUACAUACAGAGCGCCGCCAACCCGCGAGGGGGAGCUAAUUGCAGAAAGUGUAUAGUAGUCCGGAUUGUAGUCUGCAAUUCGACUGCAUGAAGUUGGAAUCGUUAGUAAUCGCGGAUCAGCAUGUCGCGGUGAAUACGUUCCCGGGUCUUGUACACACCGCCCGUCACACCAUGGGAGCGGGUUUUACCAGAAGUAGGUAGCUUAACCGCAAGGAGGGCGCU
rnacentral:rRNA from 1 species